rnacentral:rRNA from 1 species
ACCAAAUUCUCGAACGAUGGAUAUCUUGGUUCCCAUUACGAUGAAGAACGCAGCGAAGUGCGAUAAGCAAUGCGAAUUGCAGAAUCGUGAGUCAUCAGAUUUUUGAACGCAACUGGCGCUAGAUGGCUAUCCAUCUAGCAUGCUUGUUUCAGUG